CAAGUGGAGCGGAGUCAGUGGUGGCAAUAGGGUGGAGGUGCAGCCGCAGAGAGACGAGCCGAAGCAGAGAGAGUGGCAGUAGCAGAAAUCCCAGGUCUCGGGGGACCCUCACAAGGCGUGGGCAGUGCCUCCUGGCAGGAUGGGAGAGGAGAGAGGACAGGGUGAACCGCGCCCUUCUGGAGAACUGAGAGAAGGCAGUCACUGGCAUCUUCCCAGCCCAGGAAUCAAACUGGAGACUCCUGCUUUUGCAGAUGGAUUCUUUACUAAUGAGCCACCAGCAUGUACACACAGCAUUCCUGAGGAGUCAACUUUACUAUAGCAUCCUGGGAAGGAAGGUUGUGAAAGAUUGGAAUUACUUGUCUCCUGAGUAUUUGUUAGACCUCAACUGUGAAACUACUUGACCUUGAGGAACUACUGCAGAGGAAGAGGAGGAGGAGACUCCUGAUUUUAUCCUGGAUUUUAAAAAAAAGGACGUUAAUGGGAAAACUUGUGAUACUCAAUUAUAGUCUGAAGAUUAGUUAAUACUACUGUACCAAAGUUGACCAAGCAACUGGACACACACACACAUACACAUCAAAGUUGACAUAGCUUUGAUUAGUUGUCUUGAGGCUAUAUAAAAUGUUAACAACAGGGGAAGCUGAGUUAAAGCAUAUCAGAACUUUUGCUACUAUUUUUGGAACAUUUAGUAAGGCUACAAUUAUUUCAAAAUAAAAAAAGUUUUUUAAGUGGAGAGGGAAGAGUUUGAUGAAAAGUAAAGGAAGACAAUCAUUGAAGCUGAGUGGUGGAUAUAGAGGAGCUUGUUUUAUGAUUCUCUCUACUUUGUUUUGUAUGAUUGAAAAUUAAUACAAAAAAUUGUUUAAGGAAAACAACUACAGCAAAAAAUUUAUCUGGUCUUGAUUUUUAUUUUAUGGGAUAAUUCUUUUUCCUUUUUUAAAAAACCUUUUUAAU